GGUUUUUUGGAUUUAAUGGAAAAUCGGACCUGCCCACUGAUUAAAAGGCUGCAGUAAUUUGACUGUACAAAGGUAGCAUAAUCAUUAGCUUUUUAAUUGAAGGCUGGAAUGAAGGGUUUGACAAGGCUUUACUGUCUCUAAUAUAUAUAAUGAAUUUUUUUUUAUGUGAAAAGGCAUAAAUGGGUUAAUGGGACGAGAAGACCCUAUUAAACUUAAUUUUUGUUGUUAUUGGUAAAGAUUAAAAUUUGUUGGGGCGACAAAUAACUUAAAUUUUAUAUGGUAAUUUUUUAAGUUAAGAUCCUAUUGAUUGAGAGAAAGAAUAAGUUACUAUAGGGAUAACAGCGUAAUUUCUUUUGAGAGUUCAUAUUGACAAUGAAGAUUGCGACCUCGAUGUUGGAUUAAGAUUACUAUAAAGUGCAGAAGCUUUAUAAGUGGAUUUGUUCAAUCUUUAAUUUCUU
rnacentral:rRNA from 1 species